CACAAGAUUUUUUUAAUUUAAAUAAAAAAUAAAUUGUGUUAACUAAAAAAGAAUUUAUAUAUUAGAUAUUAGUUUUUUUCAACUAAAUAAAAAAGAAAAUUUUAAAAUAAAAAAAAAAUUUGAAACAUCAUUUCUCUCUCCCUCUUUUCCUCUAUCUUCCCCGAAGCCUCAUUCUCUCUCUCACUGUGUUGCCUCUGCCAGGCCCGAACGGCCAUCGUCCCAUCGCCGAAGCCGUACACGCGCCAACCCAAUCAAACCGCCGGCCCUCGAAACGUCGACCCCCGCGAGCUCACCACCAUACGCGCUGCCCAGGGCUGUCAACCAACGGUCCGAAGCCGACCGCCUCUUGCAUUUUCCAGCGAGAUUCCAACUACCCCGAGCUUUUGUUUGACGAUCUGUGAUUAGUUAGGCUACGACGGUGACGGGGAAGAGGUGUGGGUCUGGGCUCAUGGUCUUCCUCGUCUCAGAUGCGGGCUCAAUGGUGGGGAUGGGGAUCGACGUGAUGAGAAGAAUCAUCUUCCUCAGAUGAAAAAUGACAUGAAAAAUACUACAAGUCUUCUGAUUCCAUCAAAUGUAAAGGCGGAUCCAAGAAAUUCACCAAAACCCAGCUCAACGACAACUUCUGCGACUGCCCCGAUGGCACCGACGAGCCUGGAACAUCUGCUUGUCCAAAUGGAAGAUUCUAUUGUCAAAAUGCAGGGCAUGCUCCUAAAGUGUUAUUCUACUAAAGUGAAUGAUGGUAUAUGCGGAUGCUGUGGACGUCCAUGACAGUUUAGCUGCUGAAGCUGAACAUGGUGAUGCUUCCAGAAAGGAAAGGUCCUCAGUUCAAGGUGUAGAACAGGUCUAUAUUGAGAUGCAUUUCUUUGGCGUAAUACUAGACAACAUUGACAGUUGAAGUUUUUAGAAUAAAAAAUAUAUUUCACUAACAUUGUAUACAUUUCUUGUUUAAUAUUUGGUGAUGAUAUAAUUUGAUUGUAGUAUAAACUGUCAUGUAAUAUGAUUUUGUAAGCCGAGUAGACUAAAUACUAAAAUGAUAUUUUUGAGUAAUUAAUAAAAAAUUAUUUUGUUGUA